GCAGCAACAGCAAGAGAAGGAGGAAGAGGAAGGGGAGGAGGAGGAGAAGGAAGAGGAGGAGGAGGAGAAGUCACCAUUUUUGGACUCAGCUUCUUGAUGAUGGUGAUGGUGAUGGUGAUGGUGAUGGUGAUGGUGAUGGUGAUGGUGAUGAUGAUGAUGAUGCCAUCAUUAGGUGCUGACCCAGCUUCUUCAAGCUCCCAAGGCUAUCCCUAUGUAGAGCAGAUUAACCUCAAACUCAUGGAGCUCACACACCUGUGCCUCCCAAGUGCCAGGAUUCACCAGACUACGUCAGCUCUACUGUCUCUUUGCAACUUCCCUGGAAAUUUAUUAACUCUGGGAAGAAGUGAAGGAGACUUACAAAUGGAUUCUAUCUGUCAGGAUUCCUGGAAAUUUUCAUUUGUAUGUCCAGUGACAUUAUAAAGGAUAUGAAGGGGGAGGAAUCAGGAGGCAAGAACAACACCAUCUACCUAGAAGACAACUUCUCACAUUUACAGGGGGGAGUCUCUUCAGGUCAUGACUAUGUCAUGUCCUCUGUAUGUUUAUGCUAUGUCUGGGAAAAGCAUUCUUAGACAUUAGAAUGGUCACUGAGAGAGAUUCUCUGUGCCUGUCAUACCACAGUCUCCCACUGGACAGUUUAAAGAAGAAAUCUUUGCAGUGCAGUUCUUUCUUGUCCCAAGAUAACAUUGUAUAUAACCAAUCUGUGUUCAUGUGAGUAUGUUUUCAAUGAACUUUAUUGGGCUCCUACUAUAUUUACAAGUCUUCACUUUCUUUAAGAAUGUGCUUAGUCAUACCUUCUUUGAAUCCCAAACAGUCCAUAUGUAGGCUAGCCAAAGCCUCUCUGAGAAGUGUUCCUAAAAUAAAACAUUCCACUGGGCCAGUGAGAUGGCUCAGUGGAAACUGAAGUUAGUGAAAUUAUGAGCCACUAUGCCCGUGCUGGGAAUUGAACCCUGAUCCCUGGAAGAGCUGCCAGUGAGCCUUUUCUUAAACCCCCUCUUUAUGGAGAUAUUUUUAAAACUUAAAUUCAGUUAUGGACAAUUUUUAUUAUAUUAACCCUAAACCUAAUCACAUUUUUAAGAGUGUGGAUUGAAAAUGUUUCAUUAUGUCCUGUGCAUCUGACUUUCCAUAAUGGUAGACAAUACUUAAGGCUGUCUCCAAGGAUCCUUCCUUUAUUUACAGCUCUUUUCUCCAAUGUGAAAAAGAAAGAGGGAUUACUUUAUUUCAAGGUUUUAAGUUGCAAGGAAUCUGAUUUGCUUUUUGCUUGGCACCACAAGCAAUUUGAGUCUCACUACCCAAGUCCCCAGUGGUACAUAAGCAAUACGCUGCCUUUCAAAGAUGUAUCAAUAACCAUCUUCUUGGCCAAGUUUUAUUGAACACAUCUUUCUUCUGCAGCAAAAUGCAAUCUGUUUUUGAUGAGUGAGAAGGAGGGUGGACGGAAAGGUGAAAGAAUCAGCCAGUUAAAAAGCAAGUAUUGGCUAAAAGUGGGCAUAUGUGGGGGUCAGGGAGGGGGGAUUGAAACCUCAGUGUGACUGCUGUAAGAUUGAUGAAAGCCACAGAGGAAGGGAGUGGCUCCUGACCACAUAACGCCAAGCAAUAAAUGAGUGUAAUUACCCAAAGCACAUGAACAGUAUGAUGCCACACAGGGAAGAAAGCAUAAAUUCACAAAAUUUUGAUUAAUACUGGCUCAGAAAUAUAAUGCAUAACCAUUAAGUAUGAACCGAUGUAAUUAUGGUUUGCAAAACUAUAAUUUAUUCAAAUUUGAGAAGGCGGUGCCACUGAAUGUCAUAAAAAAAUAUAUACAGAUGCGCCCACUAAAAUAACCUCAAUCCCUUAAAAAUUUAGGAACUGUUUUCUGUUUAAUUUUGUGUGUGCCCAUGCAUUUGUAACCUAUGUAUUUGUAACCUUUCUGAGAUUUCUGUAUGUAUGUGUCUGAAAUAAGUUCCAGUUGAAGGAGAUGUCUGCUGAAUAUUAAUGAGACAGACUGUCUAUUUUAAUACAUGUUUUUGUACAAACUGAUUAUAUUAAAGUAUGUCGUAAUUGAA